rnacentral:rRNA from 1 species
UACGUAGGGUGCAAGCGUUGUUCGGAAUUAUUGGGCGUAAAGCGCGUGUAGGUGGCUAGUUAAGUUGGAUGUGAAAUCCCUGGGCUCAACCGAGGAAGUGCAUUCAAAACUGGCUGGCUAGAAGAUAGUAGAGGAUGGUGGAAUUCCAAGUGUAGAGGUGAAAUUCGUAGAUAUUUGGAGGAAUACCGGCGGCGAAGGCGGCCAUCUGGGCUAUUCUUGACACUGAGACGCGAAGGCGUGGGGAGCAAACAGG